rnacentral:rRNA from 1 species
UACGUAGGGUGCGAGCGUUGUCCGGAAUUAUUGGGCGUAAAGAGCUCGUAGGCGGCUUGUCACGUCGGUUGUGAAAGCCCGGGGCUUAACCCCGGGUCUGCAGUCGAUACGGGGCAGGCUAGAGUUCGGUAGGGGAGAUCGGAAUUCCUGGUGUAGCGGUGAAAUGCGCAGAUAUCAGGAGGAACACCGGUGGCGAAGGCGGAUCUCUGGGCCGAUACUGACGCUGAGGAGCGAAAGCGUGGGGAGCGAACAGG